rnacentral:misc_RNA from 1 species
UUGGAUGCAAAAAAUGGGUUCCUGUGUUGCAUACCUAUUGCGAUGGAAAUUUGUCCAUUUCGUUGUCCCUUUCGUCACAACAUCCUUCUGGAUGCUUUGUCGGACUAGAUAGUAGGGCUCGUGUUCCACGAACCAUCUCAUGUGAUCGUUCGAAUGGACCAYGAGCGCCUACUCGUUCUCUCGGAUGCGGAACUCACUUCAUGGGUAUGGGCUCAUUGCCCUUUGUUCCCAAAUCUUUAAGCGUUCGUCGCUUUAUCGGAAUGACGCUCUUGCCUUGUCUU